ACUGAGGCAGGAGAAUCUCUUGAGCCUGGGAGGCGGAGGUUGCAAUGCACCCAGAAGGCACCACUGCACUCCAACCAUAGGGACAGGAGUGAAAGAAAUCCUGCCUCGAAAAUAGAAAAAAGCUCCAAGUAAUUCCGAGAUGAGUGUUGUGGAUGACCUUCAGGUGGCCCAUGGACUCCGCUAAAAUUAUAUCCACGAAGCAUAGGCACAUAUGGAAAAUUUCCAGGCCAGCAUCAGUUUUACCAAGAAUUAGUAAUCCCCAAAAAGUUGUAAAGUAGCACACACAUGCUGAGGGUAAAGCUUCAUGAUCUUGCUUAAAAUGGUACCACUGUUCUCCCAACCAACCUGAAUCAGAAUCAGUUAUUUUUACUUUCUUCACUUGCCCUCUCAUCCAUUUUGGCUAUUCGACUUCCUUUCUUCCUUUCCAUUCGCCUGCACCACAGCUCAGAUCCUCACUACCCAUGACUACAACAACUGGGAGGUCUUUCAACCUCCAGGUUCUCCCUACCUCAAUUCACACUACAGGCCGCUAUCCCACUAAUCCUUCUGAAACAAAGUGUUCAAAUUGUUUCACUCCCAACUCAAAAUCAUCUGUGGAAGCCCCAUCACCUAGUAAAUCCAAGGUCAUAAGCCUGGCAUUAAAAACAGCCCAUAAACUAGUUCAAAUUUUCCCUUCAAGUUUUAUCAUCCUUUAUCCUGGUACAAAUAAGCUUAUGUUCCACCCAAACAUAAGUACAUGCCUCUCCCUAAAUAGGAACUCUGUGCUCUCUUAGAGAUACCUCUUUGCUUGGAUUACCUUUCCUGCCUAUCCAAAGUCAUAAUCGUCCUUCAAAACCAUGAUUUCAGAAGCCAUAAGCUCUACAAACUAACCCUCUUAUCCCUACCUUGCCAAGUAAGAUCUGAGCUCUACUCUUUUAAGUUUACUUCUGAGAGGAUUUUGGUACCAUUUAUGAAACUUAUAUAUUAAAAGACAAAUAGGGCAUUUGUGUAUAGCACUAUCUACCUAAUUAGUGUGAAGGCAGAAACUGCUAAACGGUUCAUCUUUGUAUUCCCCAAAAUACCUCCCACAAUUAUGCAGUAAAUGCUUAACAACUGUACAAGGAAGUAAAGGAAAUUUCAGCCACCGUGGGGUAAAGAGCAAAGAUUACCAUCUCUUUGAAGGCAGAGACUUUAUCUGUGACAUCCUGUAUUAUGCCGGUAGCUCGUAAUUAUUGCUUUUCAAAACCCUGAUGUAGAUCUUACCAGCAGUUUCGCAUUUUAAGGUAAGAACUAUCUGAAAAUGUUAAUAAGCUAUGUCCCAAAGAACUAUUCCAAAUACUUUACAAUUCCCAAUCUGAGUAGCUCCCAACACUUGGCCACUACACUUUCCAUUUUUUAACAUACUAACCAUUUAUAAAAAAUGAUCAUUUCUAGUCGCAGCUAAUUUACUACUUGAUGGUUAAAAACAAGUCACACAAUAAAAGAAUAACUUUCUUUUUUAAAAGGUGCAUUUUGCUUGCGUAAUACACACAGAUUUGGUGAGGCAGGUAAAGUGGAUUUACACAUGAACUCUUGUUUUUAAAAAAAAAAAAAAUGCAGGUAACUGUAAACCAAGUAUUUCAGGUAAAAACACCAAAUGGGGAAAACAAAUAUAACUUUGGACAUGAUUUUUUUCCCCACUACUAUUACUAGUAACAUUUUAAAGCAGAAACACAAAAUCUUGUUCUACAUUAACCUACACACACACAAAAUUUUGUUAAACUUAUCAAAUAGAAAAAGAAAGCAAAAUCAAGCCCCUGAAAAAUAUUUUUAUUCUGGAAGAGUAAAAAUGUCAAAAUUAUAACAGACACUACUCUUCUUUGGUAAUGAAGGUUUCAUAUAUUUACCAGAGCAAAGAAAACUCCAAAUCGACAGAGCAAAGAAAGGACUGUGAACAAGACUGAUCAUUUAAAGGUCGUAAAGGUAAGGAGCAAACUACAAAAUUAAAUUUUUUAAAAAAAGGACACGAAGAUGAAAGGAGAGUCUGUAAGUCACAGACAAGAUAAGGACUGGUAAAAUCUGCAAGGUCACUGAAACCUACCAGGUCACAAAAGGUGGAGGUGGGGGUUGCGAUGGGGGGGGGGGGGGAUGGGGAGCUGCAGAGUCGGUGAAGAACGGGGAGUGAUAAAAACAUGUCAGAAAAAGACGUUCCAAGGCUGGAGUCCUUGGUUUGCAACGCUGAAAUUGGGGUUAAAGUCAGGGCACGGGCAAUGAGUCUAUAUAUUUGUGUUUUGAGGGAGGUGUUAGGGAAAGGUGGAGGAAGGCGAAGAGAAGGCUAAAAAAGCCUAAGAACUGCAGCUGCAGAGUCACGGAAACACUUCGCUCCGCUCCAGGAUCACUGGCACAGGCCUGUGCCAGGACGAACUCCGGAUUAUGGCUUGCUAUGGCAGUCAGCCUCCAAGAUGGACCCCAUUGAUCCUGGACUCCUGCAGGGCAGGGGCUCACGUUAAGCUGAAGUUUACCCAGGAAGUGAAAUGAGAGAGCCUGGUAAAAGAAGUCUGGCUACAUGAAGCAGAAUGAAAUUCAAGUACAGAGGGAUGCAGAAAAGAAAUCAUGUUUCCUGAAAGAAAAAGCAGAGAAAGUAGCUUGUCUGAAGAUUUUUUUCAACAUUUAUGAGGCCUAGUGGCAGCAUUUACAGUUGGAUUAUGUAAGAUUUCCAUGUAUCCUUCAAAUAAAUUCCCUUUUCAUCUUGUCUAUUGGAAUGUCUUUCUCAGCACCCCAGGCAAAUGGUUUUGGAAUGAGAAGCUGCUUAGCUAUUUCAGGGAAUCCUAUACUCUUUGGUAGAGCGGCCACGCCCUUGACCUAACAGGUCUUAACUAGGUAUUCCCACAGCUGCCUGUACUUCUUCUACUUGUGCCCACAGUUAUACCUCUCAGACUGUUGAUAUUUUUUGUAAUGCACUGAGUUUUCCUCUGCCAAUUAGCAGGCCCAGUGUUUAGAUAUCUUAUUCAGGAUGACCUACCACCAAGUGUUCAAAUAAUAACCUCUUAACUUCAGUUGGCAAAACAUUCUGCGUAGUAUAGAUUUAGAAGGCAUUGCUGCAACAUUUGUAAGAAUAGACAUGUUGGCCAAAAUCAUCGUGCUGACACAAGGAAAGCAAAAAACCAGGUUUAUCAUGGAUGUCAUCAUUGUGGGCCAUGUUAGCAGCGUGUUCCAUCCAACUCACAACAGCUAGGCAGGGUUAGGCCCUGCGGAGGAUUAGGCAAGCUUGACUUGCAACAGAAAGCAAGCGGGAUAGUCUGGGGAUGGCAGUAGAGAAAGAAGAGGAGGCUCAAAGCUAAAUGGAAUCUGAUAUCAACAACAUUAAGGCAAUCAAGAAGAAUAAUCCAGCAGACCAUAAAUCAGUGCACGCUUGGAGGGAGCCAUUAUUUCAAUCAAGGAGUGUCUGCUGAAAGAGGCCUAUAAUUUCAUAGCAGCUCAGAGUUGCUGGACAACAUUCCUCCUUCUGGCUCCUAAAGAACCUCUUAUAGUCAAGGAGGUCUAGGACUAGUUAGGAGACUUCAGAGCUAUUGUCCAAUAAGGAUGAAUGCAUUGUCUUCUAAUUCCUAUAGGGGCUCCAGUGGGUCAGAACUCAAUGGAGCCAGUCUGGUACCUUGAAGAGGAUUUCAUUUCACUGAAUGUCAAGGUCAAUCUCCAUUACAUUACUCUGGUUUAAUUUCUUCAUGAUACUUACCAUCAUCUGAAAAUUGUAUUUAUUUGCUUAUUGUCUGUCUCCCACCCCUUCCAGUAAAAUGUAAAUAAAUUCCUUUAGAGCAGAGACUUUAAUCUGGUUUUUCUCCCCCAGUGCUGUGUUCUCAGCAUCUCGAACAAUGUCUGGCUUUUCGUAUGUUCUCAGUAAAUAUUUAUUGAAUAAAUAAACAAAAGGCCAUGAACUUGGUGAUACAGUCAUGGACUUUGAACAGUGUAAGAGUCCUGGAGAUCCAGACAGUCCUUGAUUAGAAUGUCAACAUUUUAAACAUAUCUGGAAAACAACUGUCCCUGACUUCC